rnacentral:rRNA from 1 species
GCAGGCUUAACACAUGCAAGUCGAGGGGUAACGAUGGUGCUUGCACCAGGCGACGACCGGCGGACGGGUGAGUAACGCGUAUGCAACCUACCUAUUGCAGGAAGAUAGCCCGAGGAAACUCGGAUUAAUAUUCCAUAAUAUCAUUUCUACACAUGUAUUAAUGAUUAAAGCUACGGCGGCAAUAGAUGGGCAUGCGUACCAUUAGCUAGUUGGUGAGGUAACGGCUCACCAAGGUUACGAUGGUUAGGGGGUCUUAAAGGAUGAUCCCCCACACUGGUACUGAGACACGGACCAGACUCCUACGGGAGGCAGCAGUGAGGAAUAUUGGGCAAUGGACGCAAGUCUGACCCAGCCAUGCCGCGUGCAGGAUGACUGCUCUAGUAGUUGUAAACUGCUUUUCUAUUUCAUGAACCCCUCUGACGUGUCAGGGGCUGACAGUAGAAUAGGAAUAAGCAUCGGCUAACUCCGUGCCAGCAGCCGCGGUAAUACGGAGGAUGCAAGCGUUAUCCGGAUUUACUAGGUUUAAAGGGUGCGUAGGCGGGGUAUCAAGUCAGUGGUGAAAUCCUGCAGCUCAACUGUAGAACUGCCAUUGAAACUGGUAUUCUUGAGUAUAGUUGAGGUAGGCGGAAUGUGUUAAGUAGCGGUGAAAUGCAUAGAGAUAACACAGAACACCGAUUGCGAAGGCAGCUUACUAAACUAUUACUGACGCUGAGGUACGAAAGCGUGGGGAGCGAACAGGAUUAGAUACCCUGGUAGUCCACGCCGUAAACGUUGAUCACUAGUUGUUUGCGAUACAUUGUGAGCGACUGAACAAAAGCAUUAAGUGAUCCACCUGGGGAGUACGUUGGGCAACGAUGAAACUCAAAGGAAUUGACGGGGGCCCGCACAAGCGGAAGGAACAUGUGGUUUAAUUCGAUGAUACGCGAGGAACCUUACCUGGGCUUAAAUGUAAGACGACUAACAGGGAAACUUGUUAUCUUUCGAGCGUCCUACAAGGUGCUGCAUGGUUGUCGUCAGCUCGUGCCGUGAGGUGUCGGGUUAAGUCCCAUAACGAGCGCAACC